CCUACGGGAGGCUGCAGUGAGGAAUAUUGGUCAAUGGGCGCGAGCCUGAACCAGCCAAGUAGCGUGAAGGAUGACUGCCCUACGGGUUGUAAACUUGUUUUAUGAGGGAAUAAAGUGCGGCACGUGUGCCUUUUUGUAUGGACUUUAUGGAUAAGGAUCGGCUAACUCCGUGCCAGCAGCCGCGGUAAUACGGAGGAUCCGAGCGUUAUCCGGAUUUAUUGGGUGUAAAGGGAGCGUAGAUGGGUUGUUAAGUCAGUUGUGAAAGUGUGCGGCUCAACCGUAAAAUUGCAAUUGAUACUGGCAGCCUUGAGUACAGUAGAGGUAGGCGGAAUUCGUGGUGUAGCGGUGAAAUGCAUAGAUAUCACGAAGAACUCCGAUUGCGAAGGCAGCAUACCGGAUCAAUACUGACGCUGAGGCACGAAAGCGUGGGGAUCGAACAGGAUUAGAUACCCGUGUAGUC
rnacentral:rRNA from 1 species